rnacentral:rRNA from 1 species
AUUGAACGCUGGCGGAAUGCUUUACACAUGCAAGUCGAGCGGCAGCGCGGGGGCAACCCUGGCGGCGAGCGGCGAACGGGUGAGUAACAUAUCGGAACGCACCCCGUCGUGGGGGAUAACACAGCGAAAGCUGUGCUAAUACCGCAUACGACCUGAGGGUGAAAGCGGGGGAUCGCAAGACCUCGCGCGAUGGGAGCGGCCGAUAUCGGAUUAGCUUGUUGGUGAGGUAAAGGCUCACCAAGGCGACGAUCCGUAGCUGGUCUGAGAGGACGACCCGCCACACUGGAACUGAGACACGGUCCAGACUCCUACGGGAGGCAGCAGUGGGGAAUUUUGGACAAUGGGGGCAACCCUGAUCCAGCCAUUCCGCGUGAGUGAAGAAGGCCUUCGGGUUGUAAAGCUCUUUCAGCAGGAACGAAACGGUGGCCACUAAUACUGGCUACUAAUGACGGUACCUGAAGAAGAAGCACCGGCUAACUACGUGCCAGCAGCCGCAGUAAGAC